UGGCCAUCUGCAGCACGGUCUGGUCACAGCAGACUGGACUGUCUUGGUGCAGGACAGCGGAGACCGGAGAGUUCCAGGCUCUGGGUGCAGCUUUCCCCUGGUGGACUGGGGACAGAUGGGUCUGGAGACGCGAUCGCCCUGGAUUUAGGAUGAGCCCUGAUGGGAGAACAGACACCCCUCUCCUGAAAUUCUGGACGAAUCCUUGGCUGCACAUAGCCAGCCUCAGUUUACCUCCACAGUCAGGUUCAACCUCCUGCUUCCUAAUGCACCGGCGGCUCUGUACUGGCCAAUGAGUCCAUCACAACACCCUUUAUGCAUUCGCUCAACAAACAUUUAUCAACCAUCUACUGCGCACGUGCACCAGGUUCUUCCAGGCCCCAGAGAAUAUGGCAAAAGUCCUGCCUGCAUGGGGCUGAUGCUGAGCUGGGGGAGCCAGAGAGUAAACAGCCAGACAAUCAAGGGACACAACUUCAGCAACCAAAGACUCUCUAGGGGAAAGGGAGCACCAGACUAUUAGAACAGUAAGUGCAAAGGCCCUGAGGCAGAAACGAGAUCUUCUGUUCAGGAUGGAACAAGCCCCGUCGGUGGGGUUGCAGCAGGGGCUCCUUGUGGGGGUAGCUGGGUGGGGGGGGCCACUGGAGCUGCCGGACCACACCAGGCAUUUAAGGUGUCAUAAGGAGUUGGGAUUUUAUUCCACCUGUUACGGGAAGCUGCCGUAAGCCAGGUGUCUGCGUGUAUUGCAAACGUGUCCCCGUGUGCCUGUGUAGGGAGGUGUGGGCGUCCCCGUGCACCCGUGUGGAUGCUCACCCGUGUCUGUGCCGGGAUGCAGAGGCUUCAUCCGGCAAGUCCAGACCCCCAGGCUCAUCGGAACCCCGCUCCCCACUGACACAGGCCCAGAAUUCCAAAGUGCCUCAGCCUGGCGCCUGGUGGGGGCGGGGGCGCACCCUCCCCCUUGCAAGUGCUUCUGAACGCAUUCUACCCUCUACCUCUCCAGGCACACUGCCAUCUGUCUCUCCCCCUCCUGCCGCUCGGCCAUUUGAGCCAGUGAUGGGGGGCGCUCCCCGCCUCCGGGACCGGGAGAGCCAGAUGGCGGGAGUCAAGGCCCCGUGGUGCCCGGGGGACGCUGCACAGGGCUGCUGUCCCCACAGCCACCCGGGGUCACGGGGCAGGCCUCCACCACCGUCAGCCUUGGCGCCUCCUGGCUGUCCCGGCCCCUGUCCCCGGGCCCCACCUCAAGUGGCCUUUUGCAGCCACCACAUAAAUCACCGUCCAGGUCAGGACCGGGUGAGGGAGCAGGGCUGGGGAGGGCACAGCCCCUGGGGCCUGCAGACAGACUGGCUGCCAGUGACCCCUGACAGCCCAGGCCAGGGGGUCUCCAGGGGCCAGCUGGGAGGUCGGGGAGGUGCAAUGCUGCCCUGGGCCUGCGGGUGAUCCCGGCUGGCCCCGCUGCACCCGCUGCACGGGGAGGGCCCGGGUCAGGGGCGCAGGCCAACACCUGUCCAGGUAGCCCGCGUGGAGGGCAGGCCGGAGGCCACGCUGGGUGGCCCGGAGCAGCUGCCCGCACCGGCCGGUUCUGGGCCUUCAUCUCUGCACACGACCUCAGCGCCCGCGGACCUGGGCGCAGCUCUGUGAGCUCGGCCCCCUGUCUUGUCACCAACUUCACAGAUGCUCCCUGAGAAUGCCCGCCACAUUCUGGACACGUGGGGAAACUGAGGCCAGGCGGAGUCCCGGCCGGACGGCAGGCACACCAGACGGCAGCCUCCUGGUCCAGCAGGAGGCCCCGGGCUUGGCAACAUCAGGCUUUCUCGAAAUAAAAACGAGGAGGGGAAAAAGCCUUUCCAGGAGGGCCAGUUCUCAUAUUUACAUUCACCAACCAACAUCCACUCAACAUCCGUCCAACAUCAACCAUCCAUCCGUCCGUCCAACCAACAUCCACCCAAGGAACCCAGGGGGUUGAGUUCAGACAGACCUGAGCUUAAUCAAAUCACAGUCCUCCUUUUAUGUCUGGCGACCUGCCCCAGGGUCAAGAGUUCAAGCCCUGUGUUGGGCACGGAGCCUACUAGAAAGAAACAAAAACAAGAGGCCCUUCCGUGCACAGGGUGACGACUCCGGACUUCCAGGCUCAGUCUCCAGUGAGACAGCCCCAACUCUGUCGCUCUGCGUCUGGGGCCUGCUCCUUAAACAGUCCCAGCCUCAGUUUCCCCGUCUACAGCGUUGCAGACAAUGCCUGUAAAACACCCAACACAUACAUGUCCCUCGAUGAACAACUACGAUCCUUAGAAACGGGCAGAGAAGGGAUCUAGGGGCCGUGGCCGUGCACAGAAGGUGUAACCGCAGAGGUGGCGUGGCGCCCGCCACUGUAAGCGAGGUUCGCGACAACACGCGUGUGCACGCGCCCCAGCACACGGACACGAGGGCGAGGCCUGCGCGGGGCGUGCUCGCGUGCCAACCACCGUCUGAGACGCGCGGCUCGGGCGCCAGGACGGCUGCGAGACGGCGGAGGGCGCGGUCGGCGGGCCACACCCGGCCGAAGAGGUCUCUACCCGCGGGAGGUGAGCGCAGCUGAGCGUUCCUACCUCAAGGGCGAUUUCCCUUCGCUGGGCCCCACUGGUGAUGUCACGGGUGGCGGAAGGGCCAUGGGCAGGCGACCCCGCCCCCCGCCUCCCCUCUCUGGGCGCGCUCCCGCGCCAGCCAAUGGCAGAAUGUUCUGGAAGCACUGCAAUCCAUUCUGCAUGCUCAGAACCUAAUCUUAUGACACUCUAAGGGC